CUCCCACCUCAGUCUCUCAAAAUGCUGAGAUUACAGGCAUGAGCCACUGAACCUGGUCUGUUCUAUUUUAUUACUUAUUGUUGUUAGUCCCUUACUGUGCCUAAUUUAUAAAUUAAACUUUAUCACAGGUAUGUAGUUAUGGAAAAAAACAGACUAUAUAGGGUUUGGUACUAUCCAUGAUUUCAGGCAUCCACGGGGGGUCUUGGAACAUAUCCUCGAUAAAUAAGGGGGACUACGGUAAAUAAGUAAUACUACAGAUGGCGAUAUGGUUCACCUGUGCCCCCACCCAACUCUCAUCUUGAAUUGUAGCUCCCGUAACUCCCACAUGUCGUGGGAGGGACUCAGUGGGAAGUAAUUGAAUCAUGGCGGCAGAUCUUUCCCAUGCUGUUCUCGUGAUAGUGAAUCUCACGAGAGCUGACGGUUUUAUAAAGGGGAGUUCCCCUACACAAGCUUUCUCUUGCCUGCUGCCAGGUAAGAUGUCCCUUUGCUCUUCCUUCAUUUUCCAUCAUGAUCGUGACACCUUCCCAGCCAUGUGGAACUCUGAGUCCAUUAAACCUCUUUCCUUAAUAAAUGACCUAGUCUUGGGUAUGUCUUUAUUAGCAGCACAAGAAUAGACUAAUAGAGAUGGUAUUUGGAUAUGGCAAGCAGCAUGACUGUGGCACAUGGUUAUUGAUAAUUUUGGUCUCUGGGGAGAUGCAGACAUCCCUAGGAGAAGUGAUACCUCCAAGGGACUCUUCUGAGACCCCUGCCAAUUGCUGCUUUACUGUCUCCGUGUGAUUCCUUGGCUUUUCUUUCUUUUACUGCUGAAUUUUCAGCUCCUCAAAGGCUGAGACUGUGUCUUAAGCCUCAGAAUCUCUCCCAGUACCCAGCACAGGGCCUGGAACAAGGUAGAUGUCAUUCAGAAAGUGCUAAGUGGCCAAGCAAGGUGGUUCUGUAAUCCCAAGACUUUGGGAAGCUGAAUCAGGAAGAUUGCUUGAGCCUAGGAGCUUACGAUCAGACUGGGGAGCAUGGUAAGACUUCAGCUCUGCAGAUAAAAAAAUUAGCCAGGCAUGGUGGUGCACCCCUGUGGUCUCAGCUACUUGAGAGGCUGAGGCAGAAGGAUUCCUUGAGCCCAGGAGUUUGAGGCUGCAGUGAGCUGAGCUCGUGCCACUGCACUCCAGCCUGGAUGACAGAGCAAGACUCUGUCUCAAAAAAAAAAGUGCUAAGAGGACUGAGAUCAGAAGUCAGACUCCAUGCAGCAUAAGGAACCAGGAGCCUGAGUUCUGGUUCUGACCUCUAACCUUGCUAGCUGUGUGGGCCUGGACAAGUUCUUCAGCUUCUCUGAGUCUCCCUCACCUCAUUCAUCUGCCUCACAGCGGUGUUUCCAGCACAAAGUAUAUGAAAGGAGUCUGAAAUCAUACGUCUCUAUAAGAGAUUAUUAAUACUAUUAUUGGUUGAAUCACAAAUCUAUUGUCACUGAAAAUCUUUCCAGUGCAGACAACCAGAAGUAAAAAUGAGGAAAAAAGGGAGGUGCUACGAGGGAAUGAGAGGCAGGAGGCCUGGAAAGGGGGAAUUGGGCCCCUCCUUUACAAUCUGAUCCGGGUGUGGGAUCACCUGCAAACUGCCUGAUAUGGUUUGGCUGUAUCCCCACCCAAAUCUCAUCUUGAAUUGUAGCCCCCAUAAGCCCCACGUGUUGUGGGAGGGACCCAGUGAGAGGUAAAUGAAUCAUGGGGGUGGGUUUUUCCCAUGCUGUUCUCGUGAUAGUGAGUAAGUCUCACGAUAUCUGAUGGUUUUAUAAAGGGCAGUUCCCCUGCACACGCUCUCUUGUCUGCUGCCACGCAAGACGUGACUUUGCUCCUCCUUCCCCUUCUGCCAUGAUUGUGAGGCCUCCCCAGUCAUGUGGAACUCUUGAGUCCAUUAAACCUCUUUUUCUUUAUAAAUUACCCAGUCUCAGAUAUUUCUUCAUAGCAGUGUGAAAAUGGACUAAUAUACUGCCCCCUGUGACCUCAGCAUAGGCCUUCCCCAGCACGGGACCCCGGCAAUGUCUAAUGCAAAAAGCAUGGUCUGGCAUCAUAUAACUAGUGUUCAAGUUCCAGCUCAGCCACCUACUGGCUGGGUGACCUGAGGUAAGUUACCCAACCUCUCUGUGCUCAUGAUUCUCAUCACUAAAGUGGGACCAAUGCCAACCUCUCAAGCCCGUUGUGAGAAAUGAAUAAGAUCACACAUGUAUACAUGAGCCCUGACAUGUAGUAAGUGCUUGGUGAAUAUGGGUUCCAGGGAAUUCUGCAGGCUCCUGGAAGAAAGAUACGGAAAUGAUUCAGGUGCAUGAUGUCAUCUGGAGCAUUGAAUUCAUCAUCUGGGAGAACUGGACUCCCCAGAGCUUUCCUGACCUGAAGCUAGAGCUGGAAAGUAAGAGAGUAAAAUCACAGAUGUCAGUUUCCAACUCCACCUCCAUUCUCACCCCACGCCCUCCCACCCCCACCUCAUUACACCCAAAGUAGGGGCCAAUCCUGUCCCUUAGGAUCUCUUGGGCUAUAGACUCGAGACCUUGCUCUUUCAGAUGAAGGAAGCUGGAGGCAGAGGAGGAUCUUUGGAGAAGCAGCCAAGUGUUCUUUGACUCAUAGAAGAGUCCAAGGCCCGAGGGGCCAGCUGGAGGUCCACUGUCUGUCUGCUGAAAGCUCUGCUAGACUUUCUGUCUCCUCCACCCCUGGAGAUCCAACCAUAAGUGGAAUUAAUCCGGCUCCCCUCUGCACCCCUUGCCCCCAACACAGUUUCCUUCCUGUGCUCCAUGGGAGAUGAGAGCUGAAAGGGAGGGAUGCAUCUGGGGAGGCUGGUCUAGCUCAGCUGGACCACAACAUCUGUAUCCUUAGCUGUGGCCUCCUCGUUCCUGCUUCAAACUGGGAGGGAAUGGAAGAGCCCAGUUCUUCCCAGGAAACUGAUGUGACUCACUUCCCAGGAGGAGCCAUGGAAGAAUGCAAUCUUUUCUCUAUGACACUCAUAUAGAACCAUGGGACUAAUUUUCUCACCUUUAGAAGGCAAAAAUGGGAAACAGCACAUUUUAAUAGAAAACUCCAAAAUAAUAGUGGUUUAAACAAGAUAGAAGCUUAUUUCUCCAACACAUAAUAAUAAUUCUGGAUGUAAGCAGGUCAGGGCCGGUAUGGCAGUUCCACACAGUUUUCAGGGUACCAAUUUCCUUGCAAAUAAUUCUCAUGGCCCAGGAUGACUGCAAGAGCUCCUACCAUCAGGUUUGAAUUCCAGGCAAUGUCUGGCAGAUAGGGAAGCAGUGAAACAUGCUCCUUCCUUUAAAGAUACUUCCCAAAGGUCAAGCCCAACAUUUUCACUUACACCCAGACCCUAAGAAAUUCUAAGGGGUCAGGGAUUGGCCAAAACGUAGUUCCAAGGCCACAGCCAGCUCCAAAAAAGGCUGAGAAACAAAUUAUUUUAUCAGGAUGACACUGGGUCCCAUCCCUCUCCUCCCACGGUCACUGUCUUGAUUCAGGCCACUCAGCUCUGCAGUAACCACAGAUCUUGUUUUCCUGCCUCUGGGACAAACCCUUCACCUGUCCUCAGUUGUUUCUCCAAAACACACAUCUGGCUAUAUCACUCCCCUGCUCAAGAACCGGCGAUGGCUCCCUAGAGCCCUUGGAAUAAACUGUGAACUCUCAGUCUGGUCUUCAAAUCUCUUCACAACCUGACCCCAGCCAGCCUCACCUCCAGGCAUAGCCCUUCCCCUCCCCUGCACACAGUCUAGCCCCAUCAGAUUCCUAGAUGUUCCUCAAAUAACCCAUACUGUGUCCAGCUUCACUCCUUGACUAUAAUGCCCUUUCUGCCCUUCUAUUCCUCAUAAGCUUCAAUCCGUCCUGUAAGAUGCUACACAAGCAUUACUUUCUCCAGGUCACAUCUUUCUUGACCCCUUUCCUGCUCCCUCUGUGGGCCUCCUCAGAAGUCUCCCGAACACUCUGUCUUCCACACGCCUGAAUGUGCUGGAGAGGACAGGCCACCUGGAACGUGCAGACCUGCUCAGCUGCCUGCAACCACAAGUCUGCGUCAGAGCCCCUGGAAGCUCUUUUUUGCACAGACUUGGUAUUAAGCCAAUGUUAAG
rnacentral:lncRNA from 10 species